rnacentral:sRNA from 2 species
UUUUAGCCCCGAUGGAAGCGGCAUCCUUUUUUUUGCGUGGGGAAAAGCCUUGGCGAAAAAAGAUACAGCGAACAGCGGGAUCGGUU